rnacentral:rRNA from 1 species
AUCAACUUUCGAUGGUAGGAUAGAGGCCUACCAUGGUGGUAACGGGUAACGGGGUGUUAGGGCACGACACCGGAGAGGGAGCCUGAGAAACGGCUACCACAUCCAAGGAUGGCAGCAGGCGCGCAAAUUACCCAAUCCCGACACGGGGAGGUAGUGACAAUAAAUAACAAUACGGGGUUCUUUCGGAUUUCGUAAUUGGAAUGAGUACAAUUUAAAUCUCUUAACGAGGAACAAUUGGAGGGCAAGUCUGGUGCCAGCAGCCGCGGUAAUUCCAGCUCCAAUAGCGUAUAUUAAAGUUGUUGCAGUUAAAAAGCUCGUAGUUGAAUUUCGGGACUAAUAUGUCGGUCGUGCCUCGGUACGAACUGGUUUAUUGGUUUCUCCUUUCUGAAGAACCAUGAUGUCAUUUAUUUGGUGUCGUGGGGAAUCAGGACUGUUACUUUGAAAAAAUUAGAGUGUUUAAAGCAGGCUCACGCUUGAAUACAUUAGCAUGGAAUAAUGAAAUAGGACGUUUGAUUCUAUUUUGUUGGUUUCUAGGAUCGACGUAAUGAUUAAUAGGGAUAGUUGGGGGCAUUAGUAUUCAAUUGUCAGAGGUGAAAUUCUUGGAUUUAUUGAAGACUAACUACUGCGAAAGCAUUUGCCAAGGAUGUUUUCAUUAAUCAAGAACGAAAGUUAGGGGAUCGAAGACGAUCAGAUACCGUCGUAGUCUUAACCAUAAACUAUGCCGACUAGGGAUCGGAUGAUGUUAAUUUUUUAAUGACUCAUUCGGCGCCUUACGGGAAACCAAAGUGUUUGGGUUC